rnacentral:rRNA from 1 species
UAUGUAAGUCGAACGGUAACAGGAAGCAGCUUGCUGCUUUGCUGACGAGUGGCGGACGGGUGAGUAAUGUCUGGGAAACUGCCUGAUGGAGGGGGAUAACUACUGGAAACGGUGGCUAAUACCGCAUAACGUCGCAAGACCAAAGAGGGGGACCUUCGGGCCUCUUGCCAUCAGAUGUGCCCAGAUGGGAUUAGCUUGUUGGUGAGGUAACGGCUCACCAAGGCGACGAUCCCUAGCUGGUCUGAGAGGAUGACCAGCCACACUGGAACUGAGACACGGUCCAGACUCCUACGGGAGGCAGCAGUGGGGAAUAUUGCACAAUGGGCGCAAGCCUGAUGCAGCCAUGCCGCGUGUAUGAAGAAGGCCUUCGGGUUGUAAAGUACUUUCAGCGGGGAGGAAGGUGUUGUGGUUAAUAACCGCAGCAAUUGACGUUACCCGCAGAAGAAGCACCGGCUAACUCCGUGCCAGCAGCCGCGGUAAUACGGAGGGUGCAAGCGUUAAUCGGAAUUACUGGGCGUAAAGCGCACGCAGGCGGUCUGUCAAGUCGGAUGUGAAAUCCCCGGGCUCAACCUGGGAACUGCAUUCGAAACUGGCAGGCUUGAGUCUUGUAGAGGGGGGUAGAAUUCCAGGUGUAGCGGUGAAAUGCGUAGAGAUCUGGAGGAAUACCGGUGGCGAAGGCGGCCCCCUGGACAAAGACUGACGCUCAGGUGCGAAAGCGUGGGGAGCAAACAGGAUUAGAUACCCUGGUAGUCCACGCCGUAAACGAUGUCUACUUGGAGGUUGUGCCCUUGAGGCGUGGCUUCCGGAGCUAACGCGUUAAGUAGACCGCCUGGGGAGUACGGCCGCAAGGUUAAAACUCAAAUGAAUUGACGGGGGCCCGCACAAGCGGUGGAGCAUGUGGUUUAAUUCGAUGCAACGCGAAGAACCUUACCUGGUCUUGACAUCCACAGAAAAUACGUCUUUCCAGAGAUGGAUUGGUGCCUUCGGGAACUGUGAGACAGGUGCUGCAUGGCUGUCGUCAGCUCGUGUUGUGAAAUGUUGGGUUAAGUCCCGCAACGAGCGCAACCCUUAUCCUUUGUUGCCAGCGGUCCGGCCGGGAACUCAAAGGAGACUGCCAGUGAUAAACUGGAGGAAGGUGGGGAUGACGUCAAGUCAUCAUGGCCCUUACGACCAGGGCUACACACGUGCUACAAUGGCGCAUACAAAGAGAAGCGACCUCGCGAGAGCAAGCGGACCUCAUAAAGUGCGUCGUAGUCCGGAUUGGAGUCUGCAACUCGACUCCAUGAAGUCGGAAUCGCUAGUAAUCGUGGAUCAGAAUGCCACGGUGAAUACGUUCCCGGGCCUUGUACACACCGCCCGUCACACCAUGGGAGUGGGUUGCAAAAGAAGUAGGUAGCUUAACCUUCGGGGGGGCGCUUACCACGCAAGC